ACCAUAAAGUGGAUUGAAGUGGAUUUAAAAAGUGACAUCAAUAAGGGAUCAUAGCUUUCACCUGGUCAGUCUGUCAUGGAAAGAGCAGGUGUUCCUAAUGUUUUGUACAUUCAGUGUAUAUAGCCAUACUUUACAACCUGUAUAUUGGCUCUGGUUUGAGAUGAACCAGCUUGCCUUCUAUUCAUUCAACCAUCAAAGGAAUGAUUUGUUCUUCGAGAUCCUCGACUUUGCACACUAAAUCUAAUUCAUUUAUCCCACUCAGCCAAAUUUGCUUUUGAUUGAACUUUAUUUUGUAUUUUUUUUAAGCUCCUGAUGUUAAUACUUGUUAACUGAGUUGUUGCUAUUUAUUGUGUUGAAUGUAACAUAAAGAUGUAGGUAAUGCAUUCUAGAGGCUUUAGGGUUCGCCACCAAAGGGACCCCAUUACUUAUAGGAUCCAUAGGAGUUGAUGACCUGUCAAAGUUCUACUGUAGACUAUACCUGAUGUUAGAGACCGGGCUGGUCUGUCUCUCCUAUUUGACCAGAACCUUAUCAUUUUCAAACCCAUUCUAACUGACUAAAGAAGCAAUCAAAUGUAAUUAAAAUAAAUAAUCGGUUGUGUUGAGCUGCAUGGAGCACAGGGUGAGUCUGACCAAUCAGCAUCUUGGCCUUGAAUAGAACCAGACAUUACAGAUACUGUCAAAGAUGUAUUGUUGUUUUUGAUGAAUAUAUAAUAUUCUGCUCACUUUGACUUGAGUACUUGACUUUGUCUGUUACUAAAUCCACGGAGGUGUGUAUAGAGUUAGUUUGGUUGAGUUGUAUUGGACAUCAGAAGGUAUGUCUGUCUGAUACAUGUUGAUUUCAGAACCUUAUUUCUGAGCUCUAGGCAGAGAAGUGUACGAGCCUGUUGCUGGUUCGGAGGGCUAGGGUGGGAAGGAUAUUGAGAUGUUACCUUUAAUCCAUUCCUGGAACACAUUGGGGUUUGCUGUGACGCUGGAGGGUUGGCUGUCGUCUGAUAUAUGAUCAGCUCACACAUGGAAUGGGCGGUAUCCAUAUUUUCAUAUCAGACCGUCCUCUUAUCCCGGGAUUUACAGUAUUACCGGUUUAGUACACAAGUGGGCACCAAAAGAAUCCCAUUGGGCGUCUUUUUAGUAGAAUGCUAACAAAAUUAGCACAAGUAAUGGCAUGGAGGCUGCUACCUAAAUAUGCUAACGAGCGCAGACAAAAAUAAGUUAAUUGCAAAGACAGGCAGUCCAGCGCAUAAAAUUCUACGUAUAUAGGUAGGCACCGAAUGUAAUUUUUGGUGAGUUUGUACAUUUACAAGUGCAUGUGAACGAGAGACAUUGUGCAAAUGAACAGUACUGACUCUGGAGCACGAUGUCUACAUGCUGUAUCUGUGUGGAGUCUGGAGUCGCUAGGGCAACUGGCCUGCCUGCUCUGCUUAGAAGGUGGAGCAGACGAGGAGAAAAAAUGACAGGAAAUCAAGGGAGGGCAGUGGCAGCUGUACAGAACUGAUCCAAAGGGCUUUGACAACUUAAUCAUGGCAGAAAGCAAACACAAUAUGAUGCCCCCCUUACCUUAUUAAUUUAGCCACUUAGAUAGCUAGCAAGUUAAUUCAGCAUUUUUCAAUCAGGAAAAAUAGAAAAUGCAUUAGAAAUAUCUUUCUGAGUUUUGUAAACACAUUCCUAAAAUGCUUCUUAUUGUCAUUUCUGCCCAGCAUCAGACUCAUUUUGUGCUUCAGUUGCACUUCUAAACUCAUAAUUCAGGACCAGGUCUUCUGUCAGCAGGCAGCGCUCUGACUGAUACCUUCUAUCGGCGCUCUGACUGAUACCUUCUAUCGGCGCUCUGACUGAUACCUUCUAUCGGCGCUCUGACUGAUACCUUCUAUCAGCGCUCUGACUGAUACCUUCUAUCGGCGGGCGGCGCUCUGACUGAUCCCUUCUAUCUGCAGGCAGCGCUUUACUUUUCUCGGUGUAGCCAGACUAUUUUUCUCCUGUUGAAUGUAAGACAUUAGGAAAUGUAGCUGCCUACAUUCUUCCUAUGGUAGGCCUAAACAUUAGAAAUGUAGCUGCCUACAUUCUUCCUAUGGUAGGCCUAAACAUUAGAAAUGUAGCUGCCAUCAUUCUUCCUAUGGUAGGCCUAAACAUUAGAAAUGUAGCUGCCUACAUUCUUCCUAUGGUAGGCCUAAACAUUAGAAAUGUAGCUGCCUACAUUCUUCCUAUGGUAGGCCUAAACAUUAGAAAUGUAGCUGCCUACAUUCUUCCUAUGGUAGACCUAAACAUUAGAAAUGUAGCUGCCUACAUUCUUCCUAUGGUAGACCUAAACAUUAGAAAUGUAGCUGCCUACAUUCUUCCUAUGGUAGGCCUAAACAUUAGAAAUGUAGAUGCCUACAUUCUUCCUAUGGUAGACCUAAACAUUAGUAAUGUAGCUGCCUACAUUCUUCCUAUGGUAGGCCUAAACAUUAGAAAUAUGUUAGCUGUUCUGGGGGACUAUGGUAACUUCAUAAUGUGACUGGGUCAGCUGUUCUGGGGGACUAUGGUAACUACAUAAUGUGACUGGGUCAGCUGUUCUGGGGGACUAUGGUAACUACAUAAUGUGACUGGGUCAGCUGUUCUGGGGAACUAUGGUAACUACAUAAUGUGACUGGGUCAGCUGUUCUGGGGGACUAUGGUAACUACAUAAUGUGACUGGGUCAGCUGUUCUGGGGGACUAUGGUAACUUCAUAAUGUGACUGGGUCAGCUGUUCUGGGGGACUAUGGUAACUACAUAAUGUGACUGGGUCAGCUGUUCUGGGGGACUAUGGUAACUACAUAAUGUGACUGGGUCAGCUGUUCUGGGGGACUAUGGUAACUACAUAAUGUGACUGGGUCAGCUGUUCUGGGGGACUAUGGUAACUACAUAAUGUGACUGGGUCAGCUGUUCUGGGGGACUAUGGUAACUUCAUAAUGUGACUGGGUCAGCUGUUCUGGGGGACUAUGGUAACUACAUAAUGUGACUGGGUCAGCUGUUCUGGGGGACUAUGGUAACUACAUAAUGUGACUGGGUCAGCUGUUCUGGGGGACUAUGGUAACUUCAUAAUGUGACUGGGUCAGCUGUUCUGGGGGACUAUGGUAACUUCAUAAUGUGACUGGGUCAGCUGUUCUGGGGGACUAUGGUAACUUCAUAAUGUGACUGGGUCAGCUGUUCUGGGGGACUAUGGUAACUUCAUAAUGUGACUGGGUCAGCUGUUCUGGGGGACUAUGGUAACUUCAUAAUGUGACUGGGUCAGCUGUUCUGGGGGACUAUGGUAACUACAUAAUGUGACUGGGUCAGCUGUUCUGGGGGACUAUGGUAACUACAUAAUGUGACUGGGUCAGCUGUUCUGGGGGACUAUGGUAACUACAUAAUGUGACUGGGUCAGCUGUUCUGGGGGACUAUGGUAACUACAUAAUGUGACUGGGUCAGCUGUUCUGAGGGACUAUGGUAACUACAUAAUGUGACUGGGUCAGCUGUUCUGGGGGACUAUGGUAACUACAUAAUGUGACUGGGUCAGCUGUUCUGGGGGACUAUGGUAACUACAUAAUGUGACUGGGUCAGCUGUUCUGGGGGACUAUGGUAAGCUUCACAAUGUAAAAUGUGUGAGAUGAAAUGAAGAAUGCAAUCUGCUUUAUCUCUUAAUGUAUUGCACAAGUUGACUAGUUAUUUACUUUAAAACAAUCUACAAAUAUUAAAAUGUAUUGGAAAAACGUCAAAGAAAUAGUUUCAGAUAUGAUAUAUACGGUAUACCGCCAAAGCCUAGUUCAGGAGGAGUCUUCAACCACUUGAGGACAGAGGAAGGUGUAGAGGGGGAGUCAAUUGCACACAAGGUCCAACCAAAAUUUGACUUAUGCUUUUAACCCAACUUCUCUGGAAGAGACACAUUCUAUAUACAGGUAUUGGAGUGGUGCAGGGGCUACACUGUGCGUCCAGGGAGCUGUUGUUGUGGGGGGUUAAGUGCCUUGCUCAAUGGCAUGUAGUGGUAGGAUUUGAUACCAGCAACCUUCCAGCUGACUUCCCGACAGAUUCUUCUGGUCGGUCCGGGAUUGAAACUGGCAACCCUCCGGCUGCUGGCUGGCCUCUAACCGCAAGGGGGAAAUUAUUUCAUCGAGUUUGUAAUUGCACUAUAGUCUAUUAGUCUAAUAAUCAAAUCCAUGUUUGUUGUCCAUGUGGACUCAGGGCGUAUCUGACUUGUGUACCCUGGUUCUGCGAUACUAGAGAAGACAAUAUUUGAAGCAAUAAGUCAUUCAUAGUUUUUAUUGGAGAAAAAUGAAGUGUACAAUAUGCUUUUUUUGAGAGAGAGCGUACAUUGUAAUAGCUAAUUUAUCAUCUGAUGAAAUGCUAUUUUAGUUGAUAGUGUUUCAGAUUGGGAUUGUUUUUAAAGUUGAAGUCAUCUGCACAUCUAGAGGCUGGUGGGCAUCAUGUUAGGGUGAGUAACUAUCUAUCCUGACUGGCUGCAUGUUAGGGUGAGUAACUAUCCAGCCUGACUGGCAGCAUGUUAGGGUGAGUAACUAUCUAUCCUGACUGGCAGCAUGUUAGGGUGAGUAACUAUCUAUCCUGACUGGCAGCAUGUUAGGGUGAGUAACUAUCCAUCCUGACUGGCAGCAUGUUAGGGUGAGUAACUAUCCAUCCUGACUGGCAGCAUGUUAGGGUGAGUAACUAUCCAGCCUGACUGGCAGCAGGUUAGGGUGAGUAACUAUACUUCCUGACUGGCAGCAGGUUAGGGUGAGUAACUAUCCAGCCUGACUGGCAGCAUGUUAGGGUGAGUAACUAUCUAUCCUGACUGGCAGCAUGUUAGGGUGAGGAACUAUACUUCCUGACUGGCAGCAUGUUAGGGUGAGGAACUAUACUUCCUGACUGGCAGUAUGUUAGGGUGAGUAACUAUACUUCCUGACUGGCAGCAGGCUAGGGUGAGUAACUAUACAUCCUGACUGGCAGCAGGCUAGGGUGAGUAACUAUACUUCCUGACUGGCAGCAGGCUAGGGUGAGUAACUAUCUAUCCUGACUGGCAGCAUGUUAGGGUGAGUAACUAUACAUCCUGACUGGCAGCAGGCUAGGGUGAGUAACUAUACUUCCUGACUGGCAGCAUGUUAGGGUGAGUAACUAUACAUCCUGACUGGCAGCAGGCUAGGGUGAGUAACUAUACUUCCUGACUGGCAGCAGGCUAGCAGUAACCUAUAGUAACCUAUAAGUUGUAUAGCAUCAGAUUGGCAGUAUGUUAGGGUGAGGAACUAUACUUCCUGACUGGCAGCAGGUUAGGGUGAGUAACUAUACUUCCUGACUGGCAGCAGGCUAGGGUGAGGAACUAUCUAUCCUGACUGGCAGCAUGUUAGGGUGAGGAACUAUACUUCCUGACUGGCAGCAUGUUAGGGUGAGUAACUAUACUUCCUGACUGGCAGCAGGCUAGCAGUAACCUAUAGUAACCUAUAAGUUGUAUAGCAUCAGAUUGGCAGCAUGUUAGGGUGAGUAACUAUCCAUCCUGACUGGCAGCAGGUUAGGGUGAGUAACUAUCCAUCCUGACUGGCAGCAUGUUAGGGUGAGUAACUAUCCAUCCUGACUGGCAGCAGGCUAGCAGUAACCUAUAGUAACCUAUAAGUUGUAUAGCAUCAGAUUGGCAGUAUGAUGGAGGAGGACCGGGACAACAGACACAACUGACUCCAAUCUAAGUUCUAGAAGAGAAUUCUGUAAUAGUUCUAUUGAAGUCUGUUCUACACUGUAGAAGGCUAGUUACUAGAGCUCGGUUCGUAUCAUAUAUGAUAUUAUGCACUGCUAUUGUUUUAUGUUUUUAAUGACCAUCGCACCAAACUCUGGUUAGAGGAUUAAAUUAGGUUUGAGAGGCAAUACGUUGCAGUAUAAUGACAUUCACUACUUAAAAUGUUAAUGAAAAUAAAUCCAAUGUUCUUAAUAACCUGUGCUUAUAUUGAAUAUAUUGUAUAAUUCUGUUUAUUUAAUGUUUAUUUAAUCAAACUGAAAAGUUGAAUAACAUUUUGAACAUGAUUCAGAUGACUUGGUAGCGAUAGUUCAAUAUUAGUCCAAAUCUGAGCUUUUUUGUCAUAAAUCAAAUCUUUAUGUAAAUAAUUAACUUUUACAUAAAAUGGCACAAGUGUUUGAAUAAACUUUGGUUGAUCCUGAA